UGCAGCUUAAAAGAAAAAAAAAAAACAAUAGUCCACUUGUGCAGUGAGCAGCAGAGAAGGAAAUGGCACAGUGCAAGGCCCCAGUCUCACUGGGAAGAGGCUCUGCCUAGAAUGAAACAUGACUUCUGAGCUUGGAGACUCUUUUAAAGGCCCCAGGGUCUACAUCUGGCUGACCCCAGGCAGCUAGUGACAUGCUGAGGAUAUAACUAAAUUCCACCCAAAGUGACUGAUCCCGUGCCUGUUAUGUGCAAAGCACUGUGACAGCUGGGGUUUAAGAGAAAUGGGCAAACCCCGUCCUUAUUCUUGGAAAGCACAGAGUGGUGGGGUGGGGUGGGAGGCUGUGAACAUACACAGCGACUCCUGGAGCACUAGGGUCCCGAAGGGGAGUGUGGGACAAGGAAAAGGUCUGUCUCAAAAAGCCACUACUUUCAUGGGGGAAAAAAAAGGUGGCCUUCCCUCAAGAAGUACAGAGGCACAGAGCCAUUUGGGCACUUCUGUAUAUCGAGCUAGAGGCCUUGAUUGUAGACACUUUACACUCUUCUAAAAUCCACAAGCUGCAGGCAAUGUGACUGCUUGAGUCUGGCACAAGGCGGGCCAAGGGCCAGCGUGAUGGCUGAACCGGGGGUUUCAGUCCUUCAGGCCUUGGUGACUUCACAAUCAGAAAGCCUGAGAGCCCCGCCUCCCCGCCACGGCUUCUGCCUACUGACUCAACAGGGCUGGUGGCAGAAGUUCCCAGGGACCUCUGAGGUCCCAUAGACAAGGUGCCAUUCCCUGGGCUGAGCAGCCACCAACUGCAGAACAGCUUCCAGGCACAGUGGGGAAGUUGCCCAGCCAAGGAACAACUGCCAACAGAGGCCCCAAAGCAGGCAUGGCAGAGACCACACGCACAGCAUCGGGCUUCAGCCAGGUAAAAGCAACUAAGGAGCGCCAGGUCCUACCACUCACACCGUGAAGAGGCCCAAACAAAUAAACUAACAGCCCACAGGCCGAAAGUGGACAAUGCUGUCCCAGGAAGGAGCCCAGUGAGAUCUUUACAGCGUGAGUCUGUUGCUGAAAUGGUUUGCAGUCAGUAAACCGUUUUCAACUUUUAAUGUCAUGAGAAAACAUCAAGUCCAAAAGAACAUAAUAUAAUCCCAAUGAGUACA